AUAACUAUAUCUUUUAUAUAAUAAUAUAUUUUAAAAAUAAUAAUCUUUUAUAUAGACAUGCUUUAAUAGAUCUAAUAAAUGAUUAACUCGGACCUACCAAUAUGGGUAUAUAAAUACUUAAAUCUGGGUAUUUAAAAUUUCGAAUGCGAAUUUUAAAAAAACCGAACUUUAUUGAUCUAGAUCUCUUGUAUAAUAGCUAGAAUAAUAUAGAUCUACAACACCUAGAUCUAGGCCUAGACUAAAGUUAAAGACUAAGGUCUAGAUUUAUUUAACGUUUUAAAAAAAAAAUCAAUAGAUCUAAUAUAGACAGUCAUGAGAUCCACUCUAUUUUAUCUAGAUAUAGACCAUACAUGAGAAAUAAUAUGAUCAUGAGAUCAAUAAUUGUCAAUUAUAGUCAAUAUGAAUAUUUAUAGAUCUAGUGACUCUAGUCCAGAGUCUAGAUUGAAGAUUCUAGAUCUAUCGAUCAUCUAUGAUCUAGUCUGUCUAUAGCUAUACUUACUAUUAUAGGCCUACACUUUUACUGUAUAUGAGUAUACUCAUACGAGUCAUACUGACUAUACUAUAGUAAGUAUAGACACUAUAGUUAGUAUAGUUAAUACUUUUUAAUAGUAUAUCUAUAGUAUAAUCUAUCAAUUCUAUCUAAAUUAUUCUAAAUCUAGACUUCACUUUCACAUCACAUUCAGUCAUUCACAUGAUUAUUGAUACAGACAGUGAAUGAAACGAAUGCAGUGGUUAUACUGAUUAUACUUAAAGUGACGAUACUACUUAUAGAUCUACCAGUUGAUAAACAUCAUCAUCAUAGAUAAUAAUCUACAUCUAUAAUCAUAGUGCCCUUUAUUUAGUCAAUAUAGUCAAGUCAAGGUAGUGGAACGUAAACUCGAAGGUUUAUUACAAUAUGGUAUGAGUCUAUGAGUUAGUAUAAGAUCUAAUUAUUUUGUUACUUUGUAUGUGACAGUAUGUCAAUGUCUCAAUUAAAAUAAUUAAUAUCACCAGCCAUAUCAUUUUAAAUAUUUAAAAAGUAGACAUAGAUUUUUAUUAUAUUAUAAAUAGAUAGAUUAGAUCUACAUAUAAUUUUACAAACUUUAGAAAUGAUUGAUUUUAUUUUUUAUUGAUAAGCCUUCUAGACUAGAUCUAGCAUCUCUAGCUAGACUCUAACAUGUAGAUUGUAGAUCUUUGAAUUGGAUCGAUAUUCACCUUCCUAAAUUGUCUCUAAAGUCUAUAGCUGAUUUGAGAGGCCCAACGAGGCAAGACAAGUCUAUUAUUACUCUGUCUCUUGAUCUAUCUAGUAGGCCUACUAAGCUAGUGCAUUAGCCAUAGUGUAGUCAAAUCUUGACAACUAGUCCUCUAGAUCUGAGCUUCUAGAAUAAUUAGAUCUAGAUCCAGUUUAGAUUUAGAGUAUAAAAGUUUUUACUACCUAAAAUACUAAAUCUACUGAUCUAAAUUCUAGAUAUAUAGAUCCAGUUCAGAUUAGGAUAUAAAAAUAUUCCACUAGCUAAAAUUCUAAAUCUACUGAUCUAUACUUAAUAUGUUAGAUAUUAUAUGACAUCUAUCUACAAAAAUUAUUAUUAAGAUAUAAUUAUAGAUUCUAGACUAGUUAUAUAUGUACAUAAAAUAUAUAAAUAAAAGAUAAAAUUUAUGCAGGCCUAGGUCCCAUAAAUUUAUAAUUGAUCCAGAUCUAUCAGUAAAAGUUACCUUCGAUUGGCAGUUUUACCCAAUCUAAUCUAUACAAGACAAUUUAUAAUCCAUGCCUUGCCUACACCCCAUAUAUAUUACUUUCCAUUCCAUGCCAUGCCCAGACCCAUGAGUUCAUGAAAUAAUAAAUGAUGUGGUGUCAAGUUGGAUCUAUCCCCUGAAAUUCAGUACUUUAAUAUAAAACUCACAUAUCUACUUAAUUAUUUGCUAUGACACUCUGAUAAACUUGGACUUGUGUGAUACAUAUAUGUUUCUUAUCAGAUUUAAUGAAUGAAGUUUUGGUGCAUUUUAAGGCUACAAAAGUAUCAUCAGGUGUAUUCUAACCAUUGGUAUUUUUCCUGGCAACAUUUCUUUUCUAGUCUGUGAUAAAUUAUAAAUAAAAAAAAAUGUUUGUAAUGUUUCAGUUAUUAACAAGUAGAACCAUGCCAACCAGUUCUGAUGAUGUACCAGAAUGGCUCAAGGAUCAUACUUAUACUAUUUCUACUUUCUGGGCAUCCAUUCAAUAUUUAUUUUAUUAACAAGUAGAACCAUGGCAACCAGUUCUGAUGAUGUACCAGAAUGGCUCAAGGAUCAUACUUAUACUAUUUCUACUCUCUGGGCAUCCAUUCAAUAUUUAAUUUAUGUUUGGAAAUGCAAGAAAAAGGCAUGCAUUCCUGAAAAGUCAAUGAUUGGUUGCACCUCUUAAAGAUAACUUUCUGUUAUGAGAAAAGAUGAGAUUCUUGGACUCCUGCAUAGCACCACCAGAAAGGAAAAUCCCAUCAUGUUGCAAAAUAAAAGUCUUGGACCAAUUUUAAUUUAAGAUAUAUAUAUUAUACUGUAAGCUGUAUACAUAUUUAUGUAUAUCCUGUCAUUCAGCCAACAGGUUUGAAUUUAGUAUUUCUUUAAAUCUGUUUGAUAUUGUACUUGAAAACUAUUAAUCUGAGCCCCAUUAAAACAAGAGGGAGUGCAGUGGAUGAGUGGUAAGGGAAAUUUUACUUUUUUAAAAUUAAAAUAAGAAUCUAACAAAAGUAAACAUAUAAAAUAUGGUGCAUUCUCCUUAAAACUAAAACCUGGUGCAAAGGUUUAAAAUGUUGGCAAAAAAAAAAGCAACAUCAAUUAAAUAUUCUUAAUUCCCUUUGCAAAACUUACUGAGAAGAACAUGCAUGUUGUUCCCUCAUAAGUUUCUUGACAGAGGAAAUCUUGUUUAUAUUAGUUUUGAAUUAAGCAAAUUAAGAAAAAAAUUAUAAUCAUUAUUUCAAAUGGUUGUAUCUAAACCUUAUGAAUUAUUUUUCAGUUAUAAGUAUAUUGAAAUGAAUGGAUAAUCAUGAAAUUGUUAAAUAAUUGCUGCUAUCAUUCCAUUGACUAAAGAACCAUAAUUUUUUUUUUAAUUAAUUUCAAAAUUAAUUAAUUAAUUAAUUUUCAAGCAGAGUUCACAUAGAUCUUGAGUGAAAUUUUUCUUUUUUUGACUAAUGCUUCAAUUUUAUUGUAUCAUUAGUUUUUUAUUUUUAUUACCCAGAAUAUUUUAAAAAUGAGUACACUAUUUUCAUGUAAUAAUGUAACUUGGUAUUCACACAUCAAAAUACGCUAUAAUCUUUAGGCCAUAUAGAUUUGUAUAAAUAUAAAUUAACUUGCUUAAAUACAUUGUAAAUGUAUAUUGUUUGGAUAAGAAUAAAGUUUUUCUGUAGACAA